UGGAUCAAUGAUGGUGACUGUGGCAUAUGAGGCUUGGACAGUGAAUGAUUCGUGUCUGGGACUCUGACGUCCAA